AGAGCGAACGCUGGCGGCAGGCUUAACACAUGCAAGUCGAGCGGGCGUAGCAAUACGUCAGCGGCAGACGGGUGAGUAACGCGUGGGAACGUACCUUUGGUUCGGAACAACCCAGGGAAACUUGGGCUAAUACCGGAUAAGCCCUUACGGGGAAAGAUUUAUCGCCGAAAGAUCGGCCCGCAUCUGAUUAGCUAGUUGGUGAGGUAAUGGCUCACCAAGGCGACGAUCAGUAGCUGGUCUGAGAGGAUGAUCAGCCACAUUGGGACUGAGACACGGCCCAAACUCCUACGGGAGGCAGCAGUGGGGAAUAUUGGACAAUGGGCGCAAGCCUGAUCCAGCCAUGCCGCGUGAGUGAUGAAGGCCCUAGGGUUGUAAAGCUCUUUGUGCGGGAAGAUAAUGACGGUACCGCAAGAAUAAGCCCCGGCUAACUUCGUGCCAGCAGCCGC
rnacentral:rRNA from 1 species